AGUAAAAACAGUAGUUAUAAAUAAAUAUUUCUAAAUGUAUUAAUCCAUUGAUAAAUUCAAUUUUUUUUAGACUGAGAAUGAGAUUGUAAAGUGGUGUGGGGGGUGAAUGUACCUAGGCAGCAUCAGAUGGUAGUCUGUGGGAUGGCUUUGGAAAUCAAGAAGAAGAAGUGAUUGAAGCCUGAUAUGGUAAUUGAAGACAGAAAACUGUUGUUCAGAAUUCAGGGAGGACUUAAAAGAAAAGCCGACAGAAAUGCCGGUUGGGAAUGUUAACAGACUUAUCAUGAUCAGAACUUUAUUGUUAAAACAUAGGAGAGUCUGAUUAUAAUCUGUUGUUCCAUUAAAUAAUAUCCAAAUUUGCAUAAGACAGCUUUAGUUUUUUGUUUUGUUUUGUUUUGUUUUUUGGCCGCAGCCCUGAGUGUGUACUGGUCUGAGAUCAGCUAAAGAAGCAAAACAAAAACAAAUCAAAUAUGGGCCGAGUCUACCUGCGCUUGAUCCAAUUUAUAUAUUAAUUCUUAUAAUACUUAAUUGUUCUUAAACCUUUAAAACCUGAACCAUGAAAUAACUGCCAGAAACCUUUAUCUUUUUUGAUAAUGGAGUGUUUGCUGAACCUUUAGACAAUAUAUAAAUACAUCAAAUUUUAAUCUGCAUAUACGAGUUUUAAUUUGUAUUACGUUUGCUACAUAAGCCAUAUUUUGCAAUGUAGUCAUUAAAAAUGUGUCAUGCAAUUUAUAUCACUUUUUAAGGUUAAAAAAAAAAAAAAAAAAUCACGCUGAUGAUGCAAAAUUUUGUGCCAAAAGGUAAAAAAAAUAAUUAAAACGAAUAAAAAGCAAGGAAUAAAAUUGCAUCUAAGAAUCUGUAUUUAUUACUGAUGCUCAUUUGGGAAACACAAAGGCUUCAGACACUUAAUAUACUUGAGCUCCUGCUACUAUUCGCACACAGAGAUCUUCAAAGAAUCGUACGGAUAUUUUCUGGAAACUUGGUUUAUCAGCAGAUGGUGAUUUUAUACCUGUUGACAUUUAAUGUGGAACAUAACUUACCAUGGCGAUGUACAGCAGUACGCAGUAAACUAGCUUUGCAGCGCAGGGUUAGCCCCAGAGUAAACCUGCUUUGUAGUACAGACCUCAGAUGAUGCAAAUGUGUAAACCACUACAGUAUGGAGUCACUUUACUUUGGUGUGGUUAUAAUCUGAGUGCUGACAGUACAACUCAUCUUUGCUGAGUUAACAACCUGCCAUUUUUGAACCAGCCAACAAGCUUCAGUGAAUUAAUAAACUUGUUUGAUAAUGUGGAAAAAACUGAUUUCCUUUAUUGGCCAAUUAAAAGUAUUUAAAACAUUUUAAUUGAAUUAUAAAUAUGUUCUAAAUUACAGUCUGUCUAAGAACUAAGAAGCAAAAAUUAGGUGGUAUGUGUGCGUCUCAGACUCGGGUCAUAUUGUUAGCAUUACCUGAUCACUUUACUAUUGCUUAAAAUGCAUGAACCAAAAGAAAAUGGGCAGUAGCGACAGAUGUCUAUCUUUCCUAUAUUGUCUUUCAGUACCAA